rnacentral:rRNA from 1 species
AGUGAACGCUGGCGGUAGGCCUAACACAUGCAAGUCGAACGGCGGCACAGUAAGAGCUUGCUCUUACGGGUGGCGAGUGGCGGACGGGUGAGGAAUACAUCGGAAUCUACUUUUUCGUGGGGGAUAACGUAGGGAAACUUACGCUAAUACCGCAUACGACCUACGGGUGAAAGCAGGGGAUCUUCGGACCUUGCGCGAUUGAAUGAGCCGAUGUCGGAUUAGCUAGUUGGCGGGGUAAAGGCCCACCAAGGCGACGAUCCGUAGCUGGUCUGAGAGGAUGAUCAGCCACACUGAACUGAGACACGGUCCAGACUCCUACGGGAGGCAGCAGUGGGGAAUAUUGGACAAAGGGCGCAAGCCUGAUCCAGCCAUACCGCGUGGGUGAAGAAGGCCUUCGGGUUGUAAAGCCCUUUUGUUGGGAAAGAAAAGCAGCAGGUUAAUACCCCGCUGUUCUGACGGUACCCAAAGAAUAAGCACCGGCUAACUUCGUG